rnacentral:rRNA from 1 species
CUACGGAGGGUGCAAGCGUUAAUCGGAAUUACUGGGCGUAAAGCGUACGUAGGCGGUUACUUAAGUCAGAUGUGAAAGCCCCGGGCUUAACUUGGGAACUGCAUUUGAAACUGGGUAACUAGAGUUUAGUAGAGGGGAGUGGAAUUUCAGGUGUAGCGGUGAAAUGCGUAGAGAUCUGAAGGAACACCAGUGGCGAAGGCGACUCCCUGGACUAAAACUGACGCUGAGGUACGAAAGCGUGGGUAGCAAACAGGAUUAGAUACCCCGGUAGUCC